rnacentral:lncRNA from 1 species
AAGAAUUCAGACAUUUUGGGUGCUGACAGCUCCUGGACCAUCUAGACUCUCAGUCUCAUGCAUGGAACACUCUUAGUUUCCGUAUUGUAUAUAAUGAACGAUUGAGGAUACUUACACAUGUACAAUAAGCUGUUGGAAGCCUCUUGGAACUAGCUAGAUACUAAAUCAAAAUAUAAAUUUUGGAACAUGGUCACAGAGGUAAGUAGCACUGCACUUAUACUGCACAACACUGAAGAUUUCACUCUGAAUAGUUUUAGAUACUCGGUGUAGGAGUGAAAUCUAAUUCUGAAAAUUCUAAAUGUGCAAGCUUGGUUCAAGGAACUGGACUGAAACUGACACAUAACUGAGGUA